UCUACUCAGCCAACCAGCAAGUUUAUCUUUGCAAGGCAUGUGGGAUCAAGAACAACUUUCACCAGGAAAGAGUCGAA
rnacentral:lncRNA from 1 species